rnacentral:rRNA from 1 species
AUUGAACGCUGGCGGCAGGCCUAACACAUGCAAGUCGAACGAGCGGCGGACGGGUGAGUAAUGUCUGGGAAACUGCCUGAUGGAGGGGGAUAACUACUGGAAACGGUAGCUAAUACCGCAUACCAUCAGAUGUACCCAGAUGGGAUUAGCUUGUAGGGGGGGUAAUGGCUCACCUAGGCGCCGAUCCCUAGCUGGUCUGAGAGGAUGACGAGCCACACGGAUACUGAGACACGGUCCAGACUCCUACGGGAGGCAGCAGUGGCGAAUAUUGCGCAAUGGGCGCAAGCCUGAUGAAGCCAUGCCGCGUGUAUGACGAAGGCCUUCGGGUUUUCAAGUACUUUCAGCGGGGAGGCGUUACCCGCAGAAGAAGCACCGGCUAACUCCGUGCCAGCAGCCGCGGUAACAC